rnacentral:rRNA from 1 species
AUUGAACGCUGGCGGCAUGCUUUACACAUGCAAGUCGAACGGCAGGCGCGGGGGCAACCCUGGCGGCGAGUGGCGAACGGGUGAGUAAUGCAUCGGAACGUAUCCUGUAAUGGGGGAUAACGUAGCGAAAGUUACGCUAAUACCGCAUACGCUCGAGAGAGGAAAGUGGGGGAUCGCAAGACCUCACGUUAUAGGAGCGGCCGAUGUCCGAUUAGCUAGUUGGUGGGGUAAAGGCCUACCAAGGCGACGAUCGGUAGCUGGUCUGAGAGGAUGAUCAGCCACACUGGGACUGAGACACGGCCCAGACUCCUACGGGAGGCAGCAGUGGGGAAUUUUGGACAAUGGGCGAAAGCCUGAUCCAGCCAUGCCGCGUGCGGGAAGAAGGCC